UAUAUGGUGGCUUAGUGGUUAGUACACUGGCCUCGCACUUCUGGGGUUGAGGGUUUGAAUCCCACCUCUGUCC